UGGGGAAUAUUGCACAAUGGGCGCAAGCCUGAUGCAGCCAUGCCGCGUGAGUGAAGAAGGCCUUCGGGUUGUAAAGCUCUUUCAGGUGGAAAGAAAACGCAUAGGUUAAUACCUUGUGCGGAUGACGGUACCAUCAGAAGAAGCACCGGCUAACUACGUGCCAGCAGCCGCGGUAAUACGUAGGGUGCGAGCGUUAAUCGGAAUUACUGGGCGUAAAGCGUGCGCAGGCGGUUAUGUAAGACAGAUGUGAAAUCCCCGGGCUCAACCUGGGAACUGCAUCCAAAACUGGCAAGCUAGAGUAUGGUAGAGGGUAGUGGAAUUUCCUGUGUAGCGGUGAAAUGCGUAGAUAUGCGGAGGAACACCGAUGGCGAAGGCAAUCCCCUGGACCUGUACUGACGCUCAUGCACGAAAGCGUGGGGAGCAAACA
rnacentral:rRNA from 1 species